rnacentral:rRNA from 1 species
GCUAAACGCGAAGAACCUUACCUGGCCUUGACAUGUCCGGAAUUCUGCAGAGAUGCGGAAGUGCCUUCGGGAAUCGGAACACAGGUGCUGCAUGGCUGUCGUCAGCUCGUGUCGUGAGAUGUUGGGUUAAGUCCCGCAACGAGCGCAACCCUUGUCCUUAGUUGCCAGCGAGUAAUGUCGGGGAACUCUAAGGAGACUGCCGGUGACAAACCGGAGGAAGGUGGGGAUGACGUCAAGUCCUCAUGGCCCUUACGGCCAGGGCUACACACGUACUACAAUGGUCGGUACAGAGGGUUGCCAAACCGCAAGGUGGAGCCAAUCCCAGAAAGCCGAUCCCAGUCCGGAUCGGAGUCUGCAACUCGACUCCGUGAAGUCGGAAUCGCUAGUAAUCGCGGAUCAGCUAUGCCGCGGUGAAUACGUUCCCGGGUAC